AGUGAACGCUGGCGGUAGGCCUAACACAUGCGAGUCGAACGGCAGCACAGUAAGAGCUUGCUCUUACGGGUGGCGAGUGGCGGACGGGUGAGGAAUACAUCGGAAUCUACUUUUUCGUGGGGGAUAACGUAGGGAAACUUACGCUAAUACCGCAUACGACCUACGGGUGAAAGCAGGGGACCUUCGGACCUUGCGCGAUUGAAUGAGCCGAUGUCGGAUUAGCUAGUUGGCGGGGUAAAGGCCCACCAAGGCGACGAUCCGUAGCUGGUCUGAGAGGAUGAUCAGCCACACUGGAACUGAGACACGGUCCAGACUCCUACGGGAGGCAGCAGUGGGGAAUAUUGGACAAUGGGCGCAAGCCUGAUCCAGCCAUACCGCGUGGGUGAAGAAGGCCUUCGGGUUGUAAAGCCCUUUUGUUGGGAAAGAAAAGCAGCAGGUUAAUACCCCGCUGUUCUGACGGUACCCAAAGAAUAAGCACCGGCUAACUUCGUG
rnacentral:rRNA from 1 species